UAUGCACCGAAGCCGCGGCAGCGAUAUGUAAAUAUUGUUGGGUAGGGGAGCGUUCUGUAAGCCUGUGAAGGUGACCUGUGAGGGUUGCUGGAGGUAUCAGAAGUGCGAAUGCUGACAUAAGUAACGAUAAUGCGGGUGAAAAACCCGCACGCCGGAAGACCAAGGGUUCCUGUCCAACGUUAAUCGGGGCAGGGUGAGUCGACCCCUAAGGCGAGGCUGAAAAGCGUAGUCGAUGGGCAACGGGUUAAUAUUCCCGUACUGGUGGUAACUGCGAAGGGGGGACGGAGAAAGCUAAAUCAUCCGGGCGACGGUUGUCCCGGUUUAAGCGUGCAGGUGGACUGACCAGGCAAAUCCGGUCGGUUGUUAACACUGAGGCGUGACGACGAGCCACUACGGUGGUGAAGUGAUUGAUGCUCUGCUUCCGGGAAAAGCCUCUAAGCUCCAGGUUACCAUUAAUCGUACCCCAAACCGACACAGGUGGUCAGGUAGAGAAUACUCAGGCGCUUGAGA
rnacentral:rRNA from 1 species